AUAUAUAUAUGUGGAUCGGUCCUUUAUUUUUACAGCCUUUUCUUUCUGCCUUUUUUUUGGCCCAUUUAAUAUCUAAACGCUGUCGUUCGGUUCUCCCCUCCAAUCAGAUUCUCACGUUAUUUUGUUUUCCAUUUACUUUGCGAGCAGCUCGACCGUGUACAUCGGCCCUCUCACUUUCUCCUCUUUUCUCGCCUAGUAUUGUUGACCCUCUUCAUUCCUCUCCAAAGUCGGCCACCGCCUCAAAUUCUUCGCCCUCAGCCGCCGCAAUCGACGACUCUAAGGCCUGCACCUCCGUUCGAUGCCCGCCGGCGUCUGCCAGCAGGUCUAAUUUUUUUGUCAAACCGUUGCCUGAAACACGACGGCGUUUGGAGAAAUUCCAAUUAAUGCUCGGUGAGAAUGAUUGUUUUCGCAAGAGGUCGUCGUCGCCUCAGCCGCUGCCGGAGCUGCACAUGCUGCUGCGGCGGGACCCUAAAUUCGCCUCCUCCAGUCCCUAAAACGUCCCUAAAACGUGCCACUGCCCUCGCCAAUCAGAGGGGAGAGGGGAGAGAAAGGCACACCGCUGAGGCGUUGAGCUCUACCGAUGCCAUUGAUGGAUUGGAUGGGCUUAAGAGUGUUUAGGUACUGUGAGGGUUGUGCUAAGAACUGAAGAAGGAAGGAAUGCGUUCGCCUCAUGGAAUGGAAUUGUUGAUGUGACCUAGGACUCAACAAGGUGAUUAUUUAUACACCAAUCGACAUUUCAUUUUUAUUGUUGCUGUCUAUUUUGUUUUUUGGAAUUAUGCACUAAUUAAUUACAUGUAUAUUUUGAUGUGUCAUCUCCUCGUUUGUUGCAACCAACUAAAAAGGCCAACUCUAGGGUGAGGUAGGAGUAGGACAUUUGGUGCUUUAAAAAAACUUCCCUUCUCUUUUGCUAUAUAUACAUUUUGAAUACAUUUGACAGUUGAGAUAGCAAUUUAUUGUCUGAUGGCAAUUUUUGUCUUACUUCUGUAAUGUUUCAAAAUUUUGUGUUUAUAAAUAGUCGGAAACGUCCACAUUAUUUCUUAUGCAAAACAAUCUUUAACCAUUGGACAUAAAACGAUCUUUUAAUAUCUGACAUGAAUAGUCGGGAACAGGCAUCGAGCAGGGCACCGCGCAUUGCGCGGUGCUCGUUACUAGUAUAUAUAUAUAUAUA